GGGAACCAGAAAGCAGUGCCUAGCAUACCUUCCUCUGCUAAAUCCUGAUAAAGACAGAUAAAAUGGGGUUUUCUCCUGCCAGAGCAUCAGGACUCAGGUGCACAGAUAGGUUUUGAUUAGAGAAAGUAGAAGGACUUUGCAAUUUAUGUUACAAGAGAAAUGGAGCAGAGUCUGACUGGAGACUAACUAUGGAGAGCUGGGUCAGGGGUAUGGAAUCCAGCAGCAGUUUUCCUGGGCUGCAAUGGAGGCCGGGUCUGUGAUUCUUCUGAGAGAAAACAGUAUCCUUUCCUUUUGCCAGGUUACCAGAGCAGAGAUUUUACAUAUGAAGCUUUCAACCCUUCAUGGCAGGCUGGAAAGGGACCAGCUAAGAUCAGAAGAGGGCAACUUGAGUGUAGGGAGGGGCCUCUGACUUUUACAUAGUUUAGUUUUAUAAAACCCUUGAUUAUUCCCUAUAGAAAGAAAUGCAUUUUACUCAGUACAUACACAAACGUGCACUCACACACACACACACAAACUGAAAUAAAAUUUUACUAAAGCCCUAUUUAAUUUUACUAUCUGUG
rnacentral:lncRNA from 1 species